AGAAUCAACGCUGGCGGCGUGCCUAACACAUGCAAGUCGAACGGGAAAGUGGAGCAAUCCAUGAGUAUAGUGGCGACCGGGUGAGUAACACGUGACUAACCUACCCUUGAGUGGGGGAUAACCUCGGGAAACCGGGGCUAAUACCGCAUAAAAUCUUCGGGAUGAGAAGCUGGAGAUCAAAGGAGCAAUUCGCUUUUGGAGGGGGUCGCGGCUGAUUAGCUAGUUGGCGGGGUAACGGCCCACCAAGGCUUUGAUCGGUAUCCGGCCUGAGAGGGCGCACGGACACACUGGAACUGAAACACGGUCCAGACUCCUACGGGAGGCAGCAGUGGGGAAUUUUGCGCAAUGGGGGAAACCCUGACGCAGCAACGCCGCGUGGAGGAUGAAGUCCCUUGGGACGUAAACUCCUUUCGACCGGGAAGAUGAUGACGGUACCGGUGGAAGAAGCCCCGGCUAACUUCGCGCCAGCAGCCGC
rnacentral:rRNA from 1 species